rnacentral:rRNA from 1 species
GUGCAAGCCCUGAAUUGAAGCCCCGGUGAACGGCGGCCGUAACUAUAACGGUCCUAAGGUAGCGAAAUUCCUUGUCGGGUAAGUUCCGACCCGCACGAAUGGCGUAACGAUUUCCCCACUGUCUCAACCAUAGACUCAGCGAAACUGACUUCUCUGUUAAGAUGCAGAGUACCCGCGGCCAGACGGAAAGACCCCGUGCACCUUUACUACAGCUUCGCAGUGGAUUUAGAUCUAACAUGUGCAGGAUAGGUGGGAGGCUUUGAACUUGUGACGCCAGUUGCAAGUGAGCCAUCCUUGAGAUACCACCCUUGUUAUAUUUGAAUUCUAACCGCACUCUGUUAUCCAGAGUCGGGACCCUGCGUGGUGGGUAGUUUGACUGGGGUGGUCGCCUCCCAAAGAGUAACGGAGGCGCGCGAUGGUAGGCUCAGUACGGUUGGAAACCGUAUGACGAGUGUAAUGGCAAAAGCCUGCCUGACUGUAAGAGAGACAUCUCGAGCAGAGACGAAAGUCGGUCAUAGUGAUCCGGUGGUUCCACAUGGAAGGGCCAUCGCAAACGGAUAAAAGGUACGCCGGGGAUAACAGGCUGAUAACGCCCAAGCGUCCACAGCGACGGCGUUGUUUGGCACCUCGAUGUCGGCUCAUCACAUCCUGGGGCUGUAGCAGGUCCCAAGGGUUCGGCUGUUCGCCGAUUAAAGUGGUACGUGAGCUGGGUUUAGAACGUCGUGAGACAGUUCGGUCCCUAUCUACCGUGGGUGUAGGAAUAUUGAGAAGAGUUGCUCCUAGUACGAGAGGACCGGAGUGAACGUACCCCUGGUGUACCUGUUGUCGCGCCCGCGGCAUCGCAGGGUAGCUAUGUACGGACAGGAUAACCGCUGAAGGCAUCUAAGCGGGAAGCCCCCUUCAAAACUAGUAUUCCCUUGAGAGACGUUGCAGACCACGACGUUGAUAGGCUGGGUGUGGAAGCGUGGUAACACGUGAAGCUAACCAGUACUAAUUUCUCAAUUGGCUUAACAAUAU